rnacentral:lncRNA from 1 species
GGGAUUGAGUUCCUUCCUGGUACAGCUCUAGUGCCCAUCGCUCAGUAUAGAAUGGCACCGAAAGAGCUUGUAAAGCUUAAGGCUCAGAUUCAAGAGUUGCUAGAUCGUGGGUUCAUUCGCCCUAGUAGGUCUCCGUGGGGAGCACUAGUUCUAUUCGUAAAAAAGAAUGAUAGAUCCAUGCGUAUAUGUACUGACUAUCAAUAAUUGAACAAGUUGAAAAUCAAGAAUAAAUAUCCCUUACCGAGAAUAAAUGAUUUGUUUGACCAGUUCCGAAGGGCUUCAGUUUUCUCCAAGAUUGACCUUCGAUCAAGAUUUCAUCAGUUGAGGGUCAAAGAGAUAAAUGUACACAAAACAAUAUUUAGGACUCGAUAUGGUUGGGCUGACAAAUGCACUAGAAGCUUUCAUGGAUCUGAUGAACCGAGUGUUCCAGCCCUAUCUGGAUAGGUUCUGUAGAAUGCCCACUUCGCUCGGGCCCAUAAAGUUAUCCAAAAAAGAACCAAUAAAUAAAAUUCCAUUUACACCCACUUUUUAAUAGCCCAAAACAAAAAUAAAGCAUCAGUCCAGCUUACAAAAUAUUGGCCUAAAUUGAAACCCAAAAAAACAAAAACCAAACCUAUUAACCUAGACCCAAUUACAUAAAACAGCCCAAAUAAAUUAACACCCCAAUAAGCCCAAUCCCAGAACUGGUCCAAACGGCCCGGGCAGGUGAAGCCUCUGGAAACCUCAGGUCACCAAACUGCUACUCACGCACACCGCAGCCUCCCCACGAGUGGACUUCCUCCGUACUGUCGAACCUGCGAGAAGAAGCAGAUUAACAGAAUAUACAACAAAUUACAGCAAGGAAAUUUGAUUUUCUUAUUUAUUUUAUUCUUAUUUUUUGGAUAUAAAAGCCAUCGAAUGUAAUCUGUCAAUCCUUACGCAUACUGAAUAGAAAAAAUUCGAAAACAAUUUCUGAAAAGUUGAUUUCUGUAUUUUUAGUCCCUUUAAUUUCCUAUUAAUUUUUUAUCUAUUUCCUUCGAUUUUUUUCAUCAUUUGCAUUUAAAAACAAAAGAAAGAGGAGAAAUGUGAUCUUACCUUGCGAAUAGGUCAUCGAUUCUUUUUAGCUUCGUUGAAAUCGAAGCCUAAAGGGAAUCUCAAGGCUAAAAAAACUAACUCUUCGAAGCCCGAAAACGCUGGUCGCCGUUCGUGGUGGUGGAUUGGUGUUUGAAAUAGAGAAUUUAGGGUUUACUGUUUGAGAAGAAAGGGGCUAGGGUUGGUUCGGCCGAAUGUGGCUUGUUUUUAGUCUUUUUAAAGGACCACAAACGAUGCCAUUUUGAGCCUGUUUCAGUAGCUCCAAAACGGUGCCGUGUUGACUAUACCCGACCUGAC